rnacentral:tRNA from 3 species
GGUGAAAUGGCCGAGAGGCUGAAGGCGCUCCCCUGCUAAGGGAGUAUAGGGUUUAUCCCCUAUCGAGGGUUCGAAUCCCUCUUUCACCGCCA